GCUUCGGUAGUGCAACGGUUAGCAUACGCUCUCGGAAAGAGUGAGAUCUGGGUUCGAAUCCCGGCUGACGCA